rnacentral:rRNA from 1 species
UACAGAGGGUGCGAGCGUUAAUCGGAAUUACUGGGCGUAAAGCGUGCGUAGACGGUUUCGUAAGUCGGGUGUGAAAUCCCCGGGCUCAACCUGGGAAUUGCAUUCGAGACUGCGAGGCUAGGGUACGGAAGAGGGAAGCGGAAUUUCUGGUGUAGCGGUGAAAUGCGUAGAUAUCAGAAGGAACAUCAGUGGCGAAAGCGGCUUCCUGGUCCAGUACCGACGUUCAGGCACGAAAGCGUGGGGAGCAAACAGG